GGAACUCCAAUGGAUGCUGUGCCCCUAGCAGCAGUGGCUGCUUCACAUCCCGUCCUUGGCCAGUUGUUUUGAACAAGUAACUCCGAAAGAUCCAUCAGAGUCCUCCAGCUGAACGACUGGAUCCCUGCCUGGCUGAUCCCAUCCACCACUGUAUGACUGAUCGCUUCAUCUAUGUUCCCAGUGCUGUCAUCUCACCUGAGCUUCCACUUGGAUUCUCAGUUGCCUUUGAGCCACCUGACUUGAUGGUUAACAGCUGCCUCAGACACAGCUAUCUGCUAGUACUGUGUUCCUCCCAGACUACCCUCAGUAGAUCUGUGUCCCUCCCCGGGGCCCUGGCAUCACCUCCCACUGUUGCCAGGCUUAGCCUUGGCUCUCCUGGGGUGCCCUUCCCUGCCUCGUGCCCUUAUUAACUUCUCACAGUUCCCUUCCCCUCCUUGCAUGCUUCCAUUUUCUGCCCAAUGGUUCUUUCCCCCAAGCAGACAGUUCCAGGUUCCUCAACCCUUGGCUCCUGCUGAGAAUCUUUCAGCAAUCCCCUAUUUGCUAUGGAAGAGUCCAGCCCCUCCACGGCACGGCCCCUGUGAUCAGGCUGCCUUCCUGCCCCCCUCCCCACAAGUUGAAGGACCACUGCUCCACUCUACCCUGGGCUAGGCAGUGCUGGCUUCCCACCAACAUCCAGUUUCUCCUUCUUCCUUAGUGACAGACCCCAAUUUUUAGCUGCUCUUCCCGAUAAAGACCACAUUUCUCAGUUUCCCUUGCAGCUAGCUGUGGCCAUGUGACAAGGUUCUGGCCAAUGAGCUAUAAAUGAAAACGUU
rnacentral:lncRNA from 1 species